GGCUUAUAAGUAAGUAUAAGUAAUGAGCGUGUUGUUCGUGUGGUGCACGAGUGUGGUGCAUGGGCUUUGCCGGUGUAUGCAUCAGUUGAAGGUUUGGCGCCUUUGAAAUGCACAUGCCCAUACACAUAAAGUAAACACUGUGCGCUGAUCUUAUAUAAAAGUCUAGAUACUUGGAAAAAAUUAAUAAUUCUGCAUGAAGUACAUGCACAGAACCUGACUGUACUGAAUGUACCAAAUGGAAUCAACAGUGAAGUACACUUGAUGCUGAAUGCCUUCAUUACAUUUCAAGUGUAACAAUCAAAUUUUUAGAACCACUUCAAAAUGUAUUCUAGAGUGUAAUUUGAGUAUGGAGUAUACAAAAGAAGUAACGACAAAUGAUAACCAAGGCAUGCAAGGUAAUGUGAUAUCACCAUCAAUGACACCAACUAAUAGUGUGUCCAAUGGUGGUACCAAAGCCCAGAAUAAUUGGGUGGACAUAACAAAAGAGUUUCAGACAUCAGUUCAAGACUUGGAACUAGGAGAACUGCUUCAUGACACUGUUUGGUUGUUUUGAAGCUAUGUCUGCUAUUGAGAUGAUUGAUCCAAAGAUGGAUGCAGGCAUGCUAUGCAACAGGGGUAACAAGAAAGCCAACUCUUUUGAUCAAUCAAUUGAAGAUGGAAGUUUAUUGUUAUGGGGCAUAAGUAACUUAGACUUAAUUGGAAUAAUUGAUACAACUUUGGCAUGCAUGUUAUUAUGGCUGGAAGGACAUUCUUUGUAAGAGUACAGACUCUUAGGGCAUUUUGUAUUGCCAUAUAUAAGCUAUUUGAUAUUAUAAAGGACUAUAUUCAGAAAUAAGUCUAACUUAAUGGAUUAAUUUUAUAUAAAUGUAUUUUUAUAUGUGCAGAGCAAUGGUUUUUGAAGAAGAAGAUUUUCAAGGGAUCCAGUACAGAUAUUAUUUGUAUCCAGAUGUAAGUGAACAGUGCAUGAUUGGAAUGCUGCAUGAAGUUGAAGAAGAACUGACACAUUAAUAAAGAAUGAGUCUUCUGAUACUUUAUCUACUACAAAAUCCAUUUUGUUUGGAUUCUCAUGAAUUCACCUAAAAUCUUGUUAAAUCGGUAAAUUAUGGUAACUAUGACAACUUAUGCCAGUUUUCAGAUAAAUCUCAAAUAAAGAACCAUAUAUGCAACAUAUAAAAGAUAUUAUUUUUUCGAUUACUCUUCUUCAAAGGCUAUUUAAAAUCAAAACAAGAAAUCGUAAAUUUUCAUUAUUGCGUUUUUUAAAUGUCAGUAAAGAAUCAAAAUUGAAAUAAUAAGUAUUAAUUUGUGUACUUGAAGAACACAUAGAUUACCCGCGCGCGUGUAGUGACACUCACUGUCAAAUUCUAAGCUGCAGAGAAAUUGACUGGCCAAUGUUGUCAAUGUUGGAGAAACUUGGGCUAUGCGCAGGUGCGUGUUUGAUGCUAGGCUGGAUGAAGUGGAGAAAUAGGAUACAGGGCAAGUCGGAUGAUUUCUGAUGAGAAAAAUUUAACGUCACAAACGGGCAGGGCGCUUAACCCGAGCCGCGCGCAAAAUAGGCUAUGACCGAUUCAUGGAAGGCAAACAACACGGUGGACGAUUUAGACGGCAUGCACCACUACGAAGUAAAAUUUUGUCCCGAACAUCCUGCAACAUACACGGGCGUGGAAGCGUUCUGGUCCAAAUUGGAAGUGUCAAGUGCUUGGGGAGCAUCUACAAGGGUUUGCCUGGAGGGAGGAAACUCUCACUAGGCUGCUGAGCUCACCAAGCGCCUAAUUCGGUUGAGAAUACCAUCUAAUAAUAAAAUAUAAAAUAAAAAAUUUAGUACAACCCUG